rnacentral:piRNA from 1 species
UGCAAGGACUUAGCUAGAAAGAUGCCUGC